rnacentral:lncRNA from 1 species
GGGAGCUCAGUGGAAAACAUCAGUUGUGCCCACGCACCCAACUGUUCCAGUAACAUAAAAGCAACAGCAGUUGGAGAUACUUAAGGCAGCCAUGGUAUUGACAGAAAAAGACUCUGGAUUUGGAUUGCAGCUGUAGCAUUUAUUAAAUGCACGUCACAACCUCUCUGAGCUUCGUUUUCCCCACGUUUCAAAUGGGAUGCAGUGGACCCUGUUGCCUACCCGGUAACUUUUUACCUUCUUUAUCCUUUUUUACAAAACCUCAAUGUCAUUCAGGACUCAGCUUCUCUUGUGGUUAGUUUUGGCCAUGUUAACUGAGUUCAGGCCGAAAGAACAUGGGUGCAAGUGGUGACGUGCAAUACUUCCAGACUUGGAUUGUUGAAAACCUUCCAUUCCAUCUUCCGUUUUUUUUCCCUCUCCAAUUGGCUGCAAAUAGAGAACAACUUCAAAGCAACUUUGAGAGCCUUGUAUGGAAGAUGGCAACUUUGAGAGCCUUGUGUUGAAGAUGGCAAAGCCACAAGAUGGAAAGUGCUUGGGUUCUUGGAUCAUUGUAUGGAGGGGUUCUGCCCAACUAGGAUCACCCAGGCUGGAUUGUCAUGUCAAAGAAUUGGGUCCUGAAAGUAGCAUACUCAAUGGGGACUGUGAGCAUGCAUCACUUAAUCAGUACAUUGGCACUCCACUCCCUCCUGGGCCAGAUUGUAUGUAGGUCAACACCUCCAGUGGCUGAACCUCCAGAAGGGCUAUCACAAAGGUCUGAGAAUCUGUCUCCCUUAAGGCAGCGAGAAGUGGUCACAGACACGGCUUGGCUGCUAGCAUGGCAGAAGGUCUAGUGGGGGCAGCUGGGACUCCACCAGCCCAGGUACAAGGUCUUUGUAUUUACUCUUUUUUUUGGCCUAGAAUGCUGUUCCCAGAUGGCCACAUGGAUUAGCCCCUCACUUGCUUCCAGAAUUUGCUCAAAUGCCAUCCUCAGAGAGACCUUUCGUUUGAUGCUUCAGGAUAUUGGCCCCAAAAUAAUAUAGAAAUGAGUUAUGAUCCUGGGUAAGCUACUUACUAAAUUAUGACUUUUGGGAUAAUUUUAACCCCCCAACCUUCAUUUCCUUGUUUGCAGAGUGAAGAUAAGAAUACCUAUUUUAAAGUUCUGUUGUGAGGUUCAAGUGCCACAUAUGGGGCCACCAGAAGCUGUUGGCGCCCCUCCCACAUCCCUGUGGUCCACUCAGGAGGUUAACUGCAGUCAGCUGUCAUUCUGCUGGUGGCUUCCUGCGUCUUUCUGCCUGAGCUUGUUCUUUGGCCCUGGAGGAACCCUCCACCAAUGAGAGAUGGGAAUUGUUGGAUAAAAGUCCCAGCUUCCACUCCAAGGCAUGUUCAUGAUCCAUGCAGCCUCUGAGAGGCCUCCCAUGGGCCUGAGCCCCAGUUGCCCACACUGGUAAUACACACAUCUGCUCACUCUCCACUGGCUUUCCUCUCUCCCUUUCUCACUGCUUCACCUUCCCAAUGUGCCUCCUGGACCACGUCCCAAAUAAAUGAUUGCACUCAAAUCCUCGUCUUGGGGUCUGCUAAGGGGAAAUCCAAGUCCAGACAUUGGUAUGACUCAAGUGCUUAAUAAAUAGACCAUGUCACUAUUGUAGUUUCUAGAUACCCAAAAUUCAAAUGUGGGUCUCUCUGCUUAUAUUUUGUAUUUUCUAUGUAAAAAAUUCCCUAAAGCCCUCCAGGAAGGACUCCUCUCCCUGUGGCUCCAUGCCAGUCCUAUGCUCUGCAGCCAUAGGGAGGAUUGCUGUGCCAAUGCUCACAAACCUUGGGGCUGCCAUCCCCAAGACUCCUUGGACUCCAUACAAAGAUUGACCUUAGGAGGAGUGAGUCACAACAACUCCAUGUGAGUAUUGGGAGGCUUUAUAGGUUGAAUUAUGACUUUCCAAAGAGAUUUGUCUUAAACCACAAUUCCUUAAAAUGUGAUCUUAUUAGGCAACAGGGUCUUUGCAAAUGAAAGUUAAGAUGAAGUCAUUAGUGUGGUCCCCAAUUCAACAUGACUGGUGUCCUUAUUAAAAGUGGAGAUUUGGACACAGAAAGACACAAACAAGGAGAACACCAUGUGAAGAUUGGGAUCAUGUGACCAAAAGCCAAGGAACUACCAGAAGGUAAGAGAGAAGACCAGGAACAAAUCCUUUCCUAGUGCCUUCAGAGGGAGUGUGACCUAGUUGACACCUUGAUUUUGGACUUCUAGCCUCUGAAAUUGUGAGACAAUAAAUGCCUGUUGUUUAAGCCACCCAGCUUGUGGCACUUUGUUACAUCAGCCCUACCAGACUAAUAAAGGGGAAUUGUCUUUAUGUACUGCCUAUGUGUGGCUGCAGGAACCAUGUGUAUGUAUAACAAUGGGGUUUUCAUGAAGCUGGCU